ensembl:lncRNA
ACGCUGUACCUUUACAGGUUGUUACAAAUGUUUUUAAGGGAUGGAUGGUACUGGGCUUUGUAUGUUUAGGUGGGCAAUUAUAGCUUACCAAUUGGGUCAAAGAUUAUUGUGUUCUGUGUUCUUUUACCUGAUGAUUUGAGUGUAACAAAGUGUGGGGCGGCAGGAGACACUGGGCCGCCGAGGAGUUGGGAUGUGUUUCCGCCAAGAUAUCUAGCAGAUAUCUUUGGGCACCUAGGUGCUGGACCUAGUAGGAUAAAGACAACCUUACUUUUUUAUUUUUUAUAUUUUUACAACAACAGAUGGCGAAUUAAUGUGAUGGGCAAGAAUCCACUAGUAAUCCUAAGAGUUGAGAGAAAGUUUUUAUUUUCUGAGUAAGAGGAGGCCAGCAUCAUGUUAAGUCAUGUGAUAUCUCAAGUGUGGGGAAUUUAACAAAGAAACAGGGAAGUAGCCUAGGCUGGCAGGCUGUAGGUCCCAGGCUGUCCGAUAAAUAAUGACCGCUCAGAGAGUUAGAGAUUAAGCUGCUUUUUAAAGAACGUUGUUUAGAAAGUCUUUCAGUACUCAUAUCCUUUUUAACGUGGGCUCCACAGGAAUUUUGGGUUGAAAUCCUAGUUAGACAAGCUACUUCUAAAUUAAAGGUAUUGUUAAAAGGUGAUUAAGUUUGUUUUUAGAAGGAAUUGAGUAAAGAGAUCACUUGAAUCAGGUGGGGAUUUUCAUCCACGGUUCAGAACUUAGGGAAAAAUUAGUCACUACCUCCAAGUAGAGAGUUGUGAUGAAUGUCUGUAAUACCAGGGAGAGUGAAUACAGACAUAGAAAUUAUUAAGGUUAAAGAAAAAAUCUGUGGCUCCGGGUAGAGAGCUUAACAGAUGGAUAUAUUUUGGGCUAAAGUCCAGAAUUUUAAGUUGCUUAUUGGUUUAAGAUUUGAUAGAAUGUGUUUAAGUUUGUUUUAAGGAGAGUAAAGAGAUUACCCGAAUCAUGUGGGGAUUUUCAUCUAUGGUUUGGAACUUAGGGAAAAAUUGGUCACUAACUCCAAGUAGAGAGUUGUGAUGUCUGUAACACCAGGGAGAGUGAAUGCAGACAUACAUAUAUUAUAGAAGUUAUUAAGGUUAAAUAAAAAUCUGUGGCUCCGGGUAGAGAGAUUAACAGAUGGAUAUAUUUUGGACUAAAGUCCUGGGUUGAUAUUUUGCUUAUUGAUAUUGGAAUUAAUAGAAGAUAUUUGGCUUGUUUUAUGAAUUACCCCGCUAAAGGCCAUAUGGCUCAUUGAUACCGGCUAGUGAGGGUUUGUGGUUAUUUUUUAUAUCUACCACAACAGGAAGCUCAGAUUCUCUUAACAUGGGCUCCGCAGGAAUUUCGGGUUAAUUUCCUGAUAUCACAGAGUACAAAAGCCUAUCAGGCUCAUUGUUUAGCUUACUUCCUUUUUAAAAAAUUGUUUAAUCUUCAUAAUGGGUGUGACUUUGAGUUUUAUUGGUUAUAUUAUUACUCUGGAAGAGAGUUCAAGAUACAAGCUUUUCUGGUUACAGACUAAGGAACACUGUAUUUUGGGAGAAAGAUUUUGUUUUUGUGUUUUUAAAAAGUAUGAUUAGGCUCUGGAAACCUCACAGAGUCAUACUGAUCAGAUUUGAUAGAGGUAGACCACCUGAAAUAUUUAUUCAGGAGAAUCAAAAAGAUAUCUCUAUUCUAAACUUUUGUCUUGAGAGUUGUAUUUUACAGAGUGUGCCUACUUGGAUUCCUGGUCUCAACAAAUUUCAGCUGGGUCCAGUCAGGACACAUCAGCUACAGCAUUUGUUUCAUUCUUCCUCCCCCCUACCCCCAAGGAUAUCUCAACGCCCAUGUACAGCUUGGAAGUUAUAGAGGAGUUGUCGCCCCAAUUCCCUGGACUUUGUGGGGCUGAAAGUGGUUAUUCUAAAGUUGUUUUUAUGAGGAACUUAGAAAUGGUUGUAAUUUAACAGGGAGGAAUUAGCUAGAUUGAGUUAUACAGUCGUAAUCUCAUUUGUUAACUAAACUAAAAUAAUAUCUUUGCUUUGAUAUAGAAUUUAUUUGUUAAAAGUUUAAAAGUACAAGGUUUAGAGCCAGUCCAUCUAUUGAUGUCAUUACAAACUUCUGAGUUGAUUACACAUGUGAGUUAAGGGCCAAAUAGCAAACAUAUUGCUGACUUUGUGAGAGUACUUUCAAGAUAUUAAGAUAUAAAGACAAUAGUACAGAUUGUCUUUAUAGAUAGAUGGUUUUCAAAAAUGUCAGAAAUCCAGAAAAUUUGAGAUUUAAAGUUAUUUAUCUUUUGUUGAGACAUAUCUGCUUCUACCAGUUACCCUUUGGUGGAUUUAACGAAGAAUGUGAACAUCUCUACCUCCAGGUGAGGUAAUACUUUGUGUCUAGGCAGCCACUGGACAAAACUGCCUGUUUCAUCUGCAGACUAAUACUGUCCAGAAAAGGACAAAUUAUGCAGAAUAGUUGACUAAUAAGCUCUGCCAAGACAGGGUGAUCAGCCCCUCAAAAUCUGCGUUUCAAGAGUCUGUCAGUUGAUUUUGGGCCAGAAGGCUGAAGACUUGCGCUCACAUGUUGCUAACAGGACUGUGCUAGUGGAGAUUUGUUUCUACAACCUCUCAGUUCUGGAAGCUGUGUUAGGCUUCCUAUGUGUAUAGAUAUUUGGUCAUUCUCAGAUUUCUGACGGGGUUGAAGACCUUUUACAGUCUCAUAGCCUAUCAGGCUAUUUAACUCUGAAAAUGCAUAUUUUAUUGGAUAGUUAUCAGACAGCAUACAAGCUAGCCAAGAUAUAAUAUAGAUUUUAAGCCUUUCUUAAGCUGGAAUGGAUAACUAAAUGUUCUGUUUAACUGAUAUAGUGAUGGACUAGGUGUUGAGUAUAUCAUAUGUUUUAUAAAUUGUAGAAUGGUAAUAAUUGUACUCAAUUUAUAUAUAAGUGAAAAGGCUUUUUUACUGGACAAAAAGGGGGAAAUGUGGUUUGCCCUGGAGUUAUCUGUAUUUUGAUGCUAAUUUCACUGCCCCAAGGACAGCUGCCUAGUCCUGUACUCAGGACUCAGGUGACUUCACCAGAAACUUCUCCCCAUUGAGUUUGUAAAAUACAGGUGAGGGACAGAUACAGGAUAGAAGGAGGCCUGUCAUUGGAGGAGAAGGAAGGAUGGGCGGGAGAAAAGUUUGAAGGAAGAGGAGGAGACUGGAAUGAAAAGAGGAGACAGGAGGAGAGGGAGAGAAGCUGUGGCAGGACAAUAUGGCAGGUGACGUUAAGAUUCUAUGCUGUGCCUUUACAGGUUGUUACAAAUGUUCUUAAGGGAUGGAUGGUACUGGGCUUUGUAUGUUUAGGUGGGCAAUUAUAUCUUACCAAUUGGGUCAAAAAAAAAAAAAGAAGAAGAAGAACCUAUAGAGCAAUAGUAAUAAGAACUGUAUGGAAUUUGUAUAGCAUAAACCUAUACUCCUGUGGACACUUGAUUUUUGACAAAGAGAAAUACCAUACACAACAAAGACACCUAGGAAAUCUAAAGAAUCACUAGGUCUUACUUCAAAAAGCUGUAUUCCACAAAAUUGAAAAUCCAAAUGAAAUGAAUGGUUUUCUUGAUAGAUAUUACCAAAUUCAAUUCAAGAUUAGGUAAACAAUUUAAAUAGACUAACAAAAUAGAGACACUUAUUAAGAGUCUCACAACCCCAAAAGUCCAGGGCCAGAUGGCUUUAGAGAAGAAUUCUACAAUACUUUUAAAGAACGAAUACCAAUACUCCCCAAACUAUUCCACAAAAUAGAAACAGAAGAAAUGUUUUUAAACUCAUUCUAUAAAGCCACAGUCACCUUGAUACUUUGUGCGGUAUCACAAAGACUUAGAAAGAAAGAUCAUUUUAGACCAAUUUCUCUUAUGAAUAUUGAUUAAGAAUCUUUAAAAUACUCACAAACUGAAGUAAAGAACACAUCAAAAUCAUCAUCCACCAUGAUCAAGUAGCUUUCAUCCAAGGAUUUAGGCAUGGUUCAACAUAGGAAAUAUCCAUUAAUGUAAUCCAACAUAUAAACAAACUGAAAGGGAAAAAAGCCAUAUGAUCAUCUCACUGGAUUCUGAAAAAGCUUUUGAAAAAAUUCAACACUCCUUCAUGAUAAAAGUCUUUGAGAGAUCAGGGAUACAAGACACAUGCCUAAGCACAAUAAAGGCCAAAUAUAGCAAGCCAAUAGCUAAAUCUAAUUAAAUGGAGAAAAAAAUAAAGCAAUUCCACUAAAAUCAGGGACAAGGCUGUCUGCGCUCUCCAUAUCUAUUCAAUAUAGUAUUUAAACUUUUAUAGUAAUAAGAUCACUAAAAGAGAUCAAGGGAAUAUAAACCAGAAAGGAAGAACUCAAAGAAUCGCUACUUGUAGAUGUUGUGGCCUGAAAAAUUCUAUUAGGGGACUCCUACAGUAAGAAAUACCUUCAACAAUGUGGCUGGAUUAACCAAAUUAACCAAAUUAACUGAGAAUAUCAGUAGCCCUCCUUUAUACAAAUGAUGAACAGGCUGAGAAAAACAUUUUUUAAACACACCCUUUAUAAUAGCCAUAAAUAAUAUAAAAUAUCUUGCUGUAACUAACCAAGCAAAAGACCUUUAUGACAAGAACUUCAAGUCUUUGAAGAAAGAAACUGAAGAUAUCAGAAAAUAGGUCUUCCAUGCUCAUGGAUCAGUAGGAUCAUGUAUAAUGAUCAAAUUCAAUGCAGUUCCCAUCAAAAUUCCAACAUAAUUCUUUGCAGAUCUUGAAAGAACAUUUUUCAACUUUACAUGGAAAACAAAAGCCCAGGAUACCUAGAACAGUCCUGUAAAUGGAAGAACUUCUGGAGGUGGCACAAUCCCUGGUCUCAAGCUGUAUUUCAGAGCAAUAGUAAAUAGUAAAAAUCCAUAUGGUGCUGGCAUAAAAACAAGAUAGGUUCAUCAAUUGGCUUGAAUCAAAGACCAAGAAGUAAACUCCCAUACCCCAUGACACUUGAUUUUUUUUUUUUACAAAGAAGUCAAAACCAAAUAAUGGGGAGGAGAAAUAAAGUAUGUUCAACAAAUGGUGCUGUUCUAACUGGAUAUCUGUGUGUAAAGGAAAGCAAAUAGAUUCAUACAUAUUACCCUGCAUAAAACUCAAGUCCAAGUGGAUCAACAAGCUCAACAUAAACAGGUUACAAUAAAUCUGAUAGAAGAGAAAGUGGCUUUCCCACAGGAGACAACUUUCCAAACACAGCGCCAACAGCUCAGACACGAAGAACGAUAAAUAGGACCUCAUGAAACUGAAAAGUUUCCUGAGGCAAAGGACACUGUCCAAAUGACAAAAUAGCAGCCUAUAGAAUAAGAAAAAAAUCUUUACCAACCCUACAUAUGACAGGUGGCUGAUAUCCAAACUGUAUAAACUCAAGAAAUUAGAUAUCAACAAACUAAAUAAACCAAUUAAGAAAUGCAUAAGAGGUAAACAGAAUUCUCAACAGAGGAAUCUCUAGGGUUGAGAAGCACAAAAAUGUCCAACAUCCAUAGUCAUGAGGGAAAUGCAAAUAAAAAUAUGGGACUCAAAUCUUACAUUCAUCAGAAUGGCUAAGAUUAAAAACCUCAGGCACGGGACAGAACAUGCUGGCAAAGAUGUGGAGCAAAAGCAACACUUCUCCUUUGCUGGUGGUAGUGUACACUUGUACAACUAUUUUGUACAACCUCACAGAUUCUCAGAAAUGUGGGAAUAGUUCUACCUCAAGACCCAGCUAUACCACUCAUGGGUAUAUGCCCAAAAGAUGACUUACUAUACCACAAGAACACUUGCUUAACUACGUUCAUAGCAGAUUUAUUGUUCAUACUCAGAAACUGGAAAUUAGAUGUUCCUGAGCUGAAGAAUGGAUAAGGAAAAUGUGAUAUAUCUACACAGUGGAAUUCUUCUCAGCUUCUGAAAACAAGAAUAUCAUGAAAUUUGAGGCAAAUCCGAUGGAACUAGAAAAGAUGAUCCUGAGUGAGAAGCAGUAGUGACUCUAACUAGGACUGCAGGCUUAAGACAAGGCCACUAACUGAGGACUGAGAGAGAGAAAACUUUUGACCUGGAUGGUCCCUACUCACAACAUACCGUAAGAUUUUGUUUUUUGUUUUUUUUUAAAUUUAUGGCCUUUGUUUAUUGAAUGGAAAGAAUAUGUGAAAUCCAAUUUAAAUGAAGGGAAUGACAUUGUUGGGUCAAAGUCAUGAAAAAGCAGAAUGGAAGAAUCCCCUCGAUUAUUCCACUGACAUAUUUUAGAAACACUGACCCUUGGUUUUUACACUUACAAAAUAAAGGAAAGCCAACAUUAUUCCACAUUAAUUCUCAAUUGGAAUCUCAGCCCAUGCGUUCAGAAAUGAAUUGCUUUUCUUUCCUGUGCUGCAGCACUACCUGUGGAUGUGCAACUGACCAGAGCAGGGAGAGCAGAGGUUGCUGGAUGAUGAGAUCCUUAGUUUGGUUUAUUUGUAAAGUCCAUCUUAAGUCUCUAAGUGGGACACUUUGUAAUCCUCAAAUUAAUUUCUCUUCUUACUUUUCUUCAACAAUGGUGACAUAAGCUUCAUGAAAAUGAAAGGGAUGACAGCGGCUGGAUUCAUUGCAGUUCUACGGUUUUUUAAGAUGAAUUAUUUUAUGUAUAUGAAUACAUUGCCAUGAUCUUCAGACACACCAGAAGAGGGCACUGGAUCCCAUUACAGAUGUUUGUGAGCCACCAUGUGGUUGCCUGGAAUUGAAUGCAGGAUCUCUCAGUGAGCCAUCAGUGCUUUUUAACUACUGAACCAUAUCUCCACACAAUGCUUUAUGUUUUAUUAAGCAAUAUUAUAAAGGAUAUGUACAUAUUUCAAUAAAAUAUAUAAGAUCUAUUUUAAAAAAUCAAGUGAGCAUUUAAUAACAUAAAGGAAUUUACAUGUUAGGCCCAAGAAAUCUUGUCUAAACUAUGGAGAUUAUAACCCUGCACCAGUUUCUUCAAAUCUCUUGAAUUUUCACAUCAAGGCAUAAAUGAACACACAAAACAGCACUGAGGCAUUGUGGGCAAGCCUCAUAAAACAAGCUAAGAGCUGGUGUCCUAUGGUACCCCUAAGCCAGGCAACUGGAAAGGGUGUGUUCUGCUGUUCUUCAUAGAUUUCAGCCAAUGCAUGCUCUGUGGAAGACACACCUGAUGAGAC